UGGCUCAGGAUGAACGCUGGCGGCGUGCCUAACACAUGCAAGUCGAACGGGGUUAAGUGAAAUUUCGGAUGGAACUUAACUAGUGGCGGACGGGUGAGUAACGCGUGGAUAACCUGCCUCACACAGGGGGAUAGCAGCUGGAAACGGCUGGUAAUACCGCAUAAGACCACGGUGCCGCAUGGCACAGGGGUAAAAGAUUUAUCGGUGUGAGAUGGAUCCGCGUCUGAUUAGCCAGUUGGCGGGUAACGGCCCACCAAAGCGACGAUCAGUAGCCGGCCUGAGAGGGUGAACGGCCACAUUGGGACUGAGACACGGCCCAAACUCCUACGGGAGGCAGCAGUGGGGAAUAUUGCACAAUGGGCGCAAGCCUGAUGCAGCAACGCCGCCGUGAGUGAAGAAGUAUUUCGGUAUGUAAAGCUCUAUCAGCAGGGAAGAAAGGCCCUUCGGGGAGAUGACGGUACCUGACUAAGAAGCCCCGGCUAACUACGUGCCAGCAGCGGC
rnacentral:rRNA from 1 species